ACUCCAAUUCUAGGUUCCAAAGGAAACCAGACUAAACCGGCGGUAUUAGUUAAACCUACUCUAAGAAUUCCUGAAUAACUCUUUAUUCUUAUUCCAAAACCAAUCAAAUCCAAGUCUUGCAACAAAAAUAACAUAACUCAAUUAAAUCCGAAUUAAAUAGGAAAUAUUUUCUUAAAGUGAUCUACGAAAUAGUUCUGAAAAACAAAUAAAACUUCCUCCAUCUCUGAAGGCACACCAUACUAGAGCUACUCCUCUAGUUCCUCCCAGACAUCUUCACAAUCACAAUCAUCACACUCACCUGCAAAUAUAAAUUUAAAGAGAGGGGUGAGUAAUUUGGGGAAGUACUAAGUAAGAACCAAACCAGACAGUUGACAAAAAAAAAAAAAAAAAAAAAACCAAACCAGACUCCCUUUCCACUCAAUUAUCAUUUUCCACCAACAUGACAAGUAUAAAUCUAACAAGCAACAGACCAGAACUCCACAAGUGCAUAAGCAACUAACAAGGAGGCGUCUCCAACAAGCGGUCAAACAGACAGGCUCAGUAGCAAUCACACAGACAGGCUCAAUAGCUGUCACACAGACAGGCUCUACAUAGCGGUCACACAGACAGGCAUGGUGGUUCGUCUAACCACCUAACGAUGAAUUAUUGUCACAGUCACACAGAUGGCACAUAAUCCAGCAACCUAAUCCGUACCCCGGCACACCUCAACCGAGACGAACACCUAAUAUACCUAUAUCUACCAAGUACUAACCACACAACAGGGUGAACAAUCAAGUAUGCUGGUUUUUCCUCUAAUGAGAGUCCUGAUCAUAUUAUUUAUAAAUAUAUAUGGAUCUAUCUAGAUAUGUAGGAAAACAUCCUGGACUUAUCAGAUCUAGACUCCGCACACCAGAAGAAGACAAAAGAAUAAGAAGAACAACCUACAUCUAAUCAUCACCUUAGCCAAAAUGCAGAUCUGAGUUACAGAGAGCUAGAAGCAAGGGAAUUAAGGAGCUUCUGGGAAGGAGGGGGCUGGCACGCACUCCUUCUCCAAUUGGCAGGCAGCAGCAGCAGCAAGGCUGAACAACUGCGGCGGCACCUGAUUCUCUCCUUCUCUUUUUUUCUUUUGG
rnacentral:lncRNA from 1 species